rnacentral:lncRNA from 1 species
CUCGAGCUGAGAUUUAAAAUCAGCUCAACCGCCUUUAUUCCUCCCGGAUGUUUACUCUGACGCAAUGAGUAUGGUCAGCCUGUGAAUGUCGCCAAAGCUGUUGUGGAAGGGACUGAACUCAGCUCUUCGGAAUCUAUCUGUAUACUCCAACUUUGUGCUUUCCUAGAGACUCACUUUCUGCCUGAGGAGGAUUCAGAAUUUCCUGUAGACAUGCAACCAGAUCCAAACGUGACUUCAUGUACAGAAAACGUUUCUGCAGCAAAAUUUGACUACAAGCUAAACAAUAUUUUCAGACUUCAUGAACUCCCAGUGAGCUGGCUUGCAUCUCCUAUGACCUGCUGUGUGUGAGAGAGGGAAAUGGAGUUCAAAGAGAAGUGGAUCAGCUCACGCUGCUCUUGUCAUUGUCUUGCUACAGUCUCCCAAGGAAACUUCCUUCACAGCGGUCAACACUUCUGCAUGUGGUUUACCUUCAACUCCUGAACAAUGGAAGAUGUCUUUCACAACUGCCUUCUGCAUUGAAUGACAAGCCCUGUUACAAAGAUAUGAGGCAGAAAGUAGUUGUUAAGGAUACCUCUCACAUGGAUGAACACAUUUUCACAUGCAAACAGAUAUACAUAUAACACAUGCAGAUAUACAAUAUUACUUGGAAUAUUCUAAUUGAUGUGUAUAUCUACUAGAAUUAUAUAUGAUGUUUGUUUAGUAAUAAAUACAUGAAAGUAGAAUGACUACCCUGGUUA